rnacentral:tmRNA from 1 species
GCCGAUCGGUUUCGACGGUGUGUGUCGCGUCGGGAGAAGCGGGCCGAGGAUGCAGAGUCAUCUCGUCAAACGCUCUCUGCAAACCAAUAAGUGCCGAAUCCAAGCGCACUGACUUCGCUCUCGCUGCCUGAUCAGUGAUCGAGUCCGUCACCCCGAGGUCGCUGUCGCCUCGGAUCGUGGCGUCAGCUAGAUAGCCACUGGGCGUCACCCUCGCCGGGGGUCGUGACGC